UGAAGAAUUUGUCCAACGGCGGGGGAUAGCCGGCCCAACGGCCGGGUAAUACCGCGUACGACCACAUGGGGACAUCCCUGAGUGGUGAAAGCAGCAAUGCGCCGAUGGAGUGCCUCGCGGCCUAUCAGCUAGUUGGUGAGGUAACGGCUCACCAAGGCGACGACGGGUAGCUGGUCUGAGAGGAUGGCCAGCCACAUUGGGACUGAGACACGGCCCAGACUCCUAGGAG
rnacentral:rRNA from 1 species